rnacentral:tRNA from 1 species
CCAGGCGGCUCAGUGGUAAAGAAUCUGCCUGCAAUGCAGGGGACACAGGUUCAAUUCCUGGGUCUGGA